rnacentral:rRNA from 1 species
GUCUUAUUGAUUAAUAAUUUUAAGUCUUGCCUGCCCUCUGUUAUAAGAAUAAAUGGCCGCAGUAAUUUGACUGUGCUAAGGUAGCAUAAUCAUUAGUUUUUUAAUUGAAAGCUGGAAUGAAAGGUGAUAUAAGAAAAUAUCUGUCUCUUUUAUAAAAUUAAAAUUUUAUUUUUAAGUAAAAAAGCUUAAAUAGGAUUAAAAGACGAGAAGACCCUAUAGAAUUUAAUAUAUAAUAAUUUUUUAAUUUAUUAGAAAUUAAAAUUUAAAGAUUAAUUUAUAUUUAAUUGGGGUGAUUAAAAAACAUAAUAAUCUUUUUUUUAUAGGACCAUUGAUAUAUGAUUAUAUGAUUCAUUUUUAUGAUUUAAGAAUAAAUUACCUUAGGGAUAACAGCGUAAUUUUUUUUUAAAGUUCAAAUUAAAAGGAAAGAUUGCGACCUCGAUGUUGGAUUAAAAU